CUGCCAGAGUGAAGGCGGGUCGCGGGGCCCUGCCCCACCCCCCGGGACACCCUCAGGGCCGCGGACAGUGCGGGCCAAUAGCUGUGCGGCAGCCGCCCCCUGGCCACACCCACUUCCUCUUUGUCCGCCGGCUGUGUGUUUAGAUCGCUUACCUCCCUUUGACACCGGUGGGCUGGCAGGAUCUGCGUCUCCCUGGGCCACUCCAAGAUCCCUCUCUGUGGCGGACACUGGACUGGGCGCUGGCAAGACAGACCUAAAAGUGACAGAGGUGCUCGAGUCAAGUUGAGGAGUUCCUGUUGUGGUGCAGUGGAAAUGAACCCGACUAGUAUCCAUGAGGACGCAGGCAGAACAAUUCGACCUUUCCAGGCCCAAUCCCAAAUCCUGCCCAACUUUGCACAGUCCAGCCUGGAAAGGCGCAGACACAGAAAGGACCCGUCUUUGAACAGAACUGGCCUUCCUUCCAGGGCAGCCAGCUGACAUUGACCAUGGGCUCCCUCACAGAUCAAAGUGCUAUUUUCAGAACAAUGGGGAAAGAAUGCCAAAUACAGCCCCCCCCCC